UUUCUUUCUUCCGUUGUAGGUUCCAUAGAUUCUUCACUUCUGAUCCUCCAAUACAAGCCAAUCAUGGAAGGAGAGGCAUCAGUUGAGUUUCAAGACUGGGAGCUCCUAGCCAACUCCGAUGCCGGCCUGAUUAAUUCGCCCAAUUCUGCUAAUAAUUCCAGGAAUUUUGAUGAAAUUGAGGCUGAUUCUGAAGGUGUGCUCAGGUUAGA
rnacentral:misc_RNA from 1 species